UAAUACGGAGGGUGCAAGCGUUAAUCGGAAUUACUGGGCGUAAAGCGCACGCAGGCGGUUUGUUAAGUCAGAUGUGAAAUCCCCGGGCUCAACCUGGGAACUGCAUUUGAAACUGGCAAGCUAGAGUCUCGUAGAGGGGGUAGAAUUCCAGGUGUAGCGGUGAAAUGCGUAGAGAUCUGGAGGAAUACCGGUGGCGAAGGCGGCCCCCUGGACGAAGACUGACGCUCAGGUGCGAAAGCGUGGGGAGCAAACAGGAUUAGAUACCCUGGUAGUCCACGCUGUAAACGAUAGUCGAUUUGGAGGUUGUGCCCUUGAGGCGUGGCUUCCGGAGCUAACGCGUUAAAUCGACCGCCUGGGGAGUACGGCCGCAAGGUUA
rnacentral:rRNA from 1 species